UAGGGAAUCUUCGGCAAUGGACGGAAGUCUGACCGAGCAACGCCGCGUGAGUGAAGAAGGUUUUCGGAUCGUAAAGCUCUGUUGUAAGAGAAGAACGAGUGUGAGAGUGGAAAGUUCACACUGUGACGGUAUCUUACCAGAAAGGGACGGCUAACUACGUGCCAGCAGCCGCGGUAAUACGUAGGUCCCGAGCGUUGUCCGGAAUUAUUGGGCGUAAAGCGCGCGUAGGCGGUUUUUUAAGUCUGAUGUGAAAGCCCACGGCUCAACCGUGGAGGGUCAUUGGAAACUGGAAAACUUGAGUGCAGAAGAGGAAAGUGGAAUUCCAUGUGUAGCGGUGAAAUGCGCAGAGAUAUGGAGGAACACCAGUGGCGAAGGCGACUUUCUGGUCUGUAACUGACGCUGAUGUGCGAAAGCGUGGGGAUCAAACAGGAUUAGAUACCCUGGUAGUCCACGCCGUAACGAUGAGUGCUAGGUGUUAGACCCUUUCCGGGGUUUAGUGUCGCAGCUAACGCAUUAAGCACUCCGCCUGGGGAGUACGACCGCAAGGUUG
rnacentral:rRNA from 1 species